CAGUCGCCACGGGAAUACAGAGGGUGCGAGCGUUAAUCGGAUUUACUGGGCGUAAAGCGUGCGUAGGCGGCUUCUUAAGUCGGAUGUGAAAUCCCUGAGCUUAACUUAGGAAUUGCAUUCGAUACUGGGAAGCUAGAGUAUGGGAGAGGAUGGUAGAAUUCCAGGUGUAGCGGUGAAAUGCGUAGAGAUCUGGAGGAAUACCGAUGGCGAAGGCAGCCAUCUGGCCUAAUACUGACGCUAAGGUACGAAAGCAUGGGGAGCAAACAGGAUUAGAUACCCCUGUAGUCCCUGUCUCUUAUAC
rnacentral:rRNA from 1 species